CCCUGGAUUACCCUCCGUCUAUUAAAACCAUGCUGUUCAUCUCGAAUUGAUCAAGUAGGUCCCCAUACAUGUGUGCACGCUCAGUCGUGUCUGACUCUUCUGUGACCUCAUGGUCUGCAGCCCGCCAGGCUCCUCAGUCCGUGGGACUCUCCAGGCAAGAACACUGGAAUGGGUUGCCGUGCCCUCCUCCAGGGGAUCUUCCCGACCCAGGGAUCGAACCUGCGUCUCCUGCAUCGGCAGGCGGGUUCUUUGCAACCGCGCCCCCUGGGAAGCCCCAGUCUGUCCUUACGUGUCUGUAAACCGGCAGUUUUUCAGGGCAGUUUCGUGUCUGGAGACGCCUGCUGGUUGUCACCCUAGGCGGCUGGAGGCCAGCCUGCUGCGGGCACAGGAAUCUUGGGGGCACAGGUUCGGGGUCAGCUCACAGUGCAGCCCGAUGUUCUGAGCCCCAUGGCCUGCCUAGCACGCAGCUGGACAGCAGCUGGAUGGGCGCGUGUCCCUUCCGUGGGAACCCCUCUCUUGGCUGUGUGCCCACCAGGCUGGGUCCACCCGCCCGGCCCAAACACCCCUGUGUCCAGGGGCCCAGACUCACCAUGAGGCAGGCCAUCCAGCUGUGGGCUCCAGCGGGGUGUGGGCUCAGGACCCCCAGGACAGGGCUCCUCCGAAAGCCCGAGCCUGGCCAGUCCUGGAGGCUCUGGAGCAGAAGGGGCCCGUGGGGCAGGCCGGGGGUGGGGACCCUGAGAAAGGUCCCUGAAACCACCAGGAAGGUUGCUGAAGCGUCACGGUCAGAGCCUGUGCCGACCCCUGACCCUGACCUUGGAAGCAGGCAUCCUACCGCCCCCGCCCCCUCCUGGCCCGCCCAGCGCUGGGCAGGAGGGGGCCUCAGGGGGCACGUCCACCACGCGGGACGGACAGACAGGGGCACGCCCCAUGGGGUCCCUCCGUCCACAGGGCCCGGCCCAGAUGAGGGCGACGGUGGCAUGGAUGGCUGGGCACCAUGUCCACACCCAGACUGGGAGAGGUGGCACCAGAUGCCGGGAGGAAUGGGGCAGCGGGGCUGGGGGCUGUGCCAGGUGCCCCGUGGCUUUCCACCUGCCCCCGCC
ensembl:lncRNA